rnacentral:tRNA from 1 species
GCCUAGGUAGCUCAGUUGGUAGAGCAACGGACUGAAAAUCCGUGUGUCGGCGGUUCGAAUCCGCCCCUAGGCACCA